rnacentral:misc_RNA from 1 species
AUUCUUAUAUAAUCAUUGCUGUAUUUGACAGCUAUCGUUAUUUUUAAGGUCGAAUAAAAAGUCAAGAACCUUGAUAAAAUGCCCAUUUUUUCGUCCAGGCAUACUGGUGCAUGUUUAAUGCAUUUUGUCUUCAUAGAUAAAGGAGCUUUGCGAUUUGGCGAGUUAAUUAGCACAUCCAAUACAUUAGAAAGUAAAGAAACCAACACCGUUACUGUGGAAACGGACAGUCCUCUGUUAUGGAUUAUGGGAAUUUCCACAUAAAAAAGAAUUUAUAGGAAUUAAAUCCGAGUGCUAAUAGCUACAACUGACAGACUUCACACCUCAAAACAACGUUGAAUCUUUGCAAAAAACCAUGUGAUAUUGACGAUCAUGACCUACUUGUAUUUUAAUGUCGACAGAUAUGAAAUUUAUUAUCUUUUUGUUGUGCAAGUUUUUUAGUUUUUGAUUCUUAUUAAGAAGAUGGAUCUUUCGUAUGCACUUGAAUGUUUUUUUUUUAAGAAAAAUUAGCGAGGAGAUUCUUUUUCGCGUGCCGAUGAGUUGUUUGCCUUUUGGCUUUUGGGGUUUUCUAAUACAUUAAAUAGAGUUGUCCAUUAUUUAUUGUAUAUAUAUAUUCAAAUUUAAAUAUAUUGCUAUUUUUUCAGUGUUUAUUUUGCAAUUGAUACUUCUGCAUAUUUUUUUGUUAAAGAUUAAAAAGAA